CAGAAACUGGGGGAACUCACAGACUAAGGCUCCUGCCAGCUGGGAUCCUGUCAACAUCAGGUGUAGGAAAACUGCGAGGCGCACCAUCCUGAGGAGCCUUUUCCUGCGCACACACACAGCAUAGUUUCCUCAGAGCAGUGAGGAAACCAGAACACUGAGGAGGAGGAGGAGAUGAACUGAUCGUCAGAUCAGAUCUCAGAUCACCAAGCAGCAGGAUGGAGGAAACAUCUCUACUGUGGCUGAUCUGACAAACUUCAAACUGACCUGAGAGUCAUUUCUCUGCAGCUCUGAUCUCUCUGCUGAGCUGCUCAACAAACCAAGCUGGUCUGACUGUGAGUCCCAGCAGAUCUCAGUUCUUUAAAGGAGACUCUGUGUCUCUGAGCUGUGAGGAGGACAACAUCUCUGCUGGAUGGACUGUGAGGAGAAACAGAACCAGAGGAACCAGGACUCAGUGUGGAGAUGGAUGGUGGAGAAACGAGGGUUCUACUUGCAAAACCAGCAGCAUCAGAGAACACAAUACUGGAGUGUACUGGUGUGAGUCCAGAGAGGGAGCAGCCAGCAGCAGCAUCAACCUCACUGUCUCUGGUGGAUCAGUGAUCCUGCAGAGUCCUGUCCUCCCUGUGAUGGAGGGAGAUGACGUCACUCUGAGCUGUCAAACAAAGACUUCCUCCAACCUCCCAGCUGCUUUCAUUAAAGAUGGCUCCCUCAUCAGGACUGAGCCUGCAGGUUUUUGCACCAAUCUACACCUAUGAAGACACAACUUCCCCCUGAUUACAUUCAUCAUAUGUAUGAGGAGAGAUUCCAGGCCAAUGUGGUUCCAUUCUGUUGACAGCACCUAAUUAAGUUCAUGCUGAUCAGCCAAUCUGAUAAUCGUCAUCUCUAGUAUCCUUCAUUUCUAACCUUCACUCUACCUUCCCAGUGAUGAACUUAUUAUCACAGCUGUCAAAACGGGCCUUGGUGGGUGUUUUAUGUCCUAUUUAACCAGUUCAUAUCACAACAUUUCAUGCCUCAUCUAACCCCCAUACACUCUAAUCAGAGCGCUGCUCCUCUGAGCAGCUGAGGUGAGUGGUAAGGAGGCCACUAAGGGCUCCAGAUCAGAGCUUACAGACUUACUUCCAGUAGCGUGUUGGACCAACAUACAAAAUCACUACUAAAAUCAAACAGAAUAAUAAAAACUAAAUGAAAACAUGCAUGUAGUAAAAAGCUGACUGUGAGAUAAAGGCUUUCACCGUUUUACAAGCCAAUGUUAUCUCUGAUCAGAACUCUUUCCUUUAGGAAAACAAUUAUGAACAUCUUCAAUUCUGUGAUUUUCCGUUUCAAGCUCUGCAACAGUGGCGGCAUAUCAAUAGGGGGCGCUAGAGCACCACCCCCACCAAAAUGGCAGAUAAAACAUAAAUUACGAAAUGAAGAGUUAUUAUCACAUCUGUUCACUCCUAAAAUGUGUCUGACCUUUUAUUUUUCAGCAUUCCCAUUCCAUUUAGGGUUUAUUUUUCGUGUAGCUCUAAAUAAGGAAAACAUGUUUAUAUGAAAAAGUAUCAGUUUACAGAGCAUUGAAAUAGAUACAAAUAUGAAAGUUCAAGAAAUAAUGCAAUAAAAAAACCUCAAUGUCCAUAAAGCAAAGAAGCUUGUUUUUAAAAUGUACGCCACAGAAUAAAAUAUACAAAGACAACGAAUCCAAAGUAAAGUUCAUACCGAGAGAGGAAGAUGAUUACAGAGCAGAUGGGCCUGAAAAUGAAAAGCUUUGCCUCCCUUCCUCUUCUGGUGGAAGUUCUGGAAAUGACGCGUGAACUGAGAGCAACAUGUUCUCCUGAGCUCCAGAGCAGCAAGGCUUAUAGGGAGGAAGGUGCUUGGUCUUUGAGGGCUUUGUCUUUAAUUAGAGGAAUGUCUAUAUCAGCCAGGGGGGUGAUGAUGAUUACGGAGAAAUGAGUGUUUUUAUCCCUGCGGUUAUUUGCAGUUUUUUCAUAUUCUUGGAAAUAGUCCGUUUUUUUAUGCACAAAUAUACAAUCACAGUUUGUACAUCCUACUCUGUUGCACAUUCUUUGAAUCUGAUCUGAGGAUGGUAUAGUCAAUAAGAGUACAGCAGUUUUUCUUAUAUAGUAAAUCUGUUCAGUCUGUUCUUAUAUUUUUAACCUUUGUGUAAAUCUGCAAGCUUCCAUUUGGCCUUUGCUGCUGAUGGAGCUGAACUGAGGGACAAUAAAGGUUAUUUCUAGUCUACUCUACUGGAUCAGCUGGAGGUUUUUCUAUGUUUUUAAAAGCUUCCUGUUUUCUCACCAUCAGAACCUGCAAACCGGUGACACCUCUUUCUCUCUGUUCACACGCUUCACCUUGUUCUGCUCAUCAUUUCUUUGUUUUGCUGUUUUAUUUUCCAUUUCCCCUGUUUUUGUCUAAUGUAUAGCAACUCAUGUUGCCUUCAAGAAUAAAAUGUGCUCUAUUAAUAAACGUUGAUUUAUCGGUGGAAGCCUUUAAGAAAGAAAAGAGUUAUGAAAAACAAAGACAACAAGCAGCCAG